rnacentral:lncRNA from 1 species
GGGUGGAGGGGGCGGAGCUGCUGCCUUUAUGGCAGGGCAGCAGGGGGUGAAGUGGAGCCAGGACAGGUGGCCCGAAUGAGGCAAUUAGGCCAGCCAUGACCCAUCACACCGAAGGGCAUAAAGCUGUGGAGGAGUUGGCCGAGAGGUAACAAUGUGGAUCGUCUGCUGGUGAGCGGAGGGAGGUUUUGUCUUGCUGGUGGAGUGUCUAAUGGCUGCUGUGCAUUAGUCAGCAAGUGGUAACAGUGCCUGAGGAGAUACAUUAAGGGAAACAGAAGGCUCCUCUUCCUCAUCUCUAACGUGUUUGGCUGCAGACACCACAAGCUGAAAUUCUGAGUGACAAGCAUCAUUUCUAAGACCACAAUUUCACUUGGAAAAGUGGAGCAGAGUUGGAGGAGGAGAUGGAGGAAGAGAGAUUAAACAACUCAGAAAACAGAUGGAGAAAUGGAAUAGAAUCACUACUGGUUUAACUUUAAAAUCACCUCAGUGGAUAUUUUCAACAUUGGACAGCAAGGCAUACAUUUUCAUAAAAUACAAAGGAAAAAGUAAUACGAAAGCAAAGAAACAUCAAUCUUCUGCAACAGAUGAAAGAUACAAGAAUUCUUCCACUGCUUGCCUGAGAAGUGGAGUGAAGCAUUUGUGGAUUCUGUGCCAUGUUAAUAUGGACAGGUAGCUUCAGUGGAAUACUUCCCAUUGUGAAGAUGUAUCUACAGGACUUCUGGAUGAGAGUAUUCAUCUUGACCAAUCUUUAGCAUGUACACAUUAUGCAUUGCCCAAGUGCAACUUUCUCAUUUGAUCCCAGUUUCCAAAUGACUUUCCAUUAUCUCAAGCUCUAAUAGAUUACUUAGUGUAGUCUGUAUGUAUAAGUCUAUAUGUCUAGUAUUAGAUAUGGAGGUUGGUGGCCCUGCAUGCGGCAGGGGGACUGGAGCUUGAUGAUCCUUGAGGUCCCUUCCAACACAAGCCAUUCUAUGAAUCUGUGAAAAAAGUAAACAUAAUGCACCUGAAUUGCCACUCCCAAGAAAAGCAACAUGACUCCAGCUUAAGGGCAUAUACCGGCUCAUGUGGGAGCAUGUUUAAAACGGGUUGGGAAAUGUUGAAUAUUUGGUUUUGAUUGAAAAAAAAUAUUUUGACAUUUCGGAACUGAUUUUUUUUCUAAACGUGUUGGUCUUUGGAUGAAAAUAGUUUUAAAAAUAUCAGCUUCUUUCCCUAUGAAGGAAAUUUCAUCUGUCAACUGGCUGUACCAUCCAAAACUAGUCAAAGGCAGGAAUAAGUAGAAAACACAUGUCCUAAAUAGGUACCUCUCUGUCUAUUGCUGAGCCCAAGUUUAGCUCAAAUGGAAUCGUUUGGAUUGGGUUGCUUGUCUUUUUUUAAUGGCCUAAUUUUGUAGCAGUAGCCAUGACUAUCAUAACAACCAAAACAAGAAAAACAUGGAAUUGGACUUAGAGUUAGUACAUUUUGUCUGCCUGUGAAGACAAAGUCCAACUCAAACCUCUCACUCCUAAACACAUGCUAAUUUUUUAGAUUUGACUGGAUUUUAGGUUUUAAGAUGCACAGCUUCUAAUGUAAAUCUCUCUCUGCUACCAUUAACUACAUCAGAUACAGUUAUGAGGAAUGAUCUGUAGGCUUACAUAUUUCUCUAACAGGUUCUAUACCACCUUGGAGUUAUUCAGUUACAAAGAGAGAGAAAGAAACUGUUUUUAUGCCAAAUCCUUUGUCCUCCGUAAUUUUGGGAGCAUGUGGGAUUUCUGCCUGGCAGGUCAUUCUGCUCUGAUUUCUAAGGUUCCUUCAUUAGGAGGUGUAGUGGAAAUGCUAAGUCAUGGCCUGAAACAGUGAUUGAGCACCUGGUGGGAAGGCAGGGCCAACCCAGGAGAGCUCAGCUGCAUGCAAUCCACCUGAGUGAUUGGAAGGGUUGCAGUCAGGAUCCACCCCUUCCCAGACCUCAUUUAAGGGUUGGCAGUAGAGGCAAAGGUAUUGUGCUGGAGAUCCCUGCCUACUGGAGGUCUUCUAAAGGUAAGCAGUUUUUCUUCUUCUGUUUCUGUGUUCCCACCUGCUGUAUUUGGGCUUGUUCUCAUUUGCUGCAGCCUAGGAUAGUGUUACUCUGCUACUAUUGCUAUACUUUCCAUCGUGUUAUAGGUGAGAUAGCUGAUAGUCGCUCAGUCUGAAAGAGACCUGCUCAUCAUUUCAAUCCAGUGGCAAUGGGUUCCCCUGAGUGUCUCCCUUCUUCCACACAUUUCUUCCUCUUUAUGUUCCUAAUGCUAGGACCUGCAAAGUAUCCUGCAUGAGUUUUGCUAUCAACAUCUCUGUUCGGUAGCUACAGCAGAGGAUUUCUCUUCCAGCCGUACACAGAUACUUGUAUUCCCUGUUUCUUAAUAUAUUGAAAAGUAAAGGUAUUUGACUCAGCAUCCUGGCUGAUCUUUACUUACCUCCAUGAAACACUUUUUCUGCCUAAUAAGUAAAAACUCAGAGAAUGUGAAGGACAACCUGCAAAAGAGAGUAGGCAUGGCAUGACUACAUGCAACUGUGAAAGGAAACUUGCAAUAUUUAUUGUCCCCUUUCUUAAGGGUCAGUUUUUGGACCUGGGUUCAUCUAGCUUUAGAAUUUCCCACCACUGCAACACACCAUCUACUUGGAAAGGGGCUAAUCACAGGGUCUUUUUCUAGGUAGUUUGUAGUUACCUCUGUUGGUGUUAAAUUAAUCCCUUCACCUUUCUUCUCUGUUAGGCCUCUCUGCGUUCUUCCACUUACUUAAAAAGCAAAGUAUCUUUGAAUAAAGCUUUCUUAUUUUACAGUAAUUUUGGUGUUAGCACUGGGGAAAUACUUUAGGCACAAGAUUAUUGCCAACAAUCCUUUAUUUUCUGAAAGAAAAAUAGGAUGUUUCUUGGCAACACCAUCUGUGAGAAAUAGGAUCCUCCCAAACAUUUGGGAAAAAUCCCUACUGCCAGCUCCCACACAUCACAUUAUUUUUCCCUUGGUAUUAUGUUGUCUCUUAAAACAAUGACUUACGUGAAGAAGUAGAAACCAACUGAGUCAAAUGCAGACUUUACUUAUAUACUCAUCAUCUGGAGUGAGAGCCACAUCACUGCCAUGGUGUCAGGAAGCCGGAGGCACACAUGUUGGUCCCUUGUACAGGGCCCUAGAGCAAUCUAGGUAUCAAAUGUGUAUGUAAUAGCCUGGUAUUGCUGGUUUAUUGCUAUCUGUGAAAAGCUAUAGGAAGAGGAUUUGUUACCUGGAGCACAACUUCCCAAAUCUCAGUCAGGACUGAGACUGUUCAUGAUUCAGAUCAACAUGUGGGAAGAAAUUAGCUGUCUUUACUAUCAGUGUGUUCAGCCUGUAGUAUAAUACGGCACUGAAUGUGGAGUUACAAGACCUUGUUUCAAGAAAAACUGUUGUGCAAUGUUUCUGGACAUACUGUUUGAUCCUGUUUUCUUUCACUCUGUGCAUGCGUCAUUUCUUUGUCUCCAGUGAACAGCAAAUUGAGUCAUGACUUUGAAUCUUGAAACAGGUGAACUAACUGGGAGGGAGUGAGAUGAUGGACUCAGACACAGCUUGUUUCCCCCAGCUCUCUCCCCUCCAGCACAAAUCAGCUUAAAAGAAGAAAGGAGAGGGAAAAAAAAAAAAAAAAAAAAAAAGGAACAAUAAAGUGACUGAGAUGGCAGGGAGUAGAAAGACCUGAUUUUCAUUGAAAUCACUUUCAAAGCAGAAUCUGAAGCAAAAAAAUGGAAACUAUUUGGAAGAAGGGCAAUGUUUUUUUCAGCUAUCCAAAUAGGAAACUGGGAGAGAUGGAGUCUGAACUUCUUGUUGGAAAUGCAUCUUUUGUGAGGGAUAAGAGAGAAUUGUAAGGGACAAAUUGGAGAUGUGAUAGAUUACUUGUGGUUGUGACUCUUCAGCAGAGAAAAGGAAAGGAUGUUAUUAAUUACAGGUUUAUGGAAAAAUCUCAUAAAAGAAAGAAAAGAGUGGUAAACAUGAACAUGACUCAGGGGAUUUAGAAUGUAAUGCAAACCUAAAAAUGUGACCAGUGACAACCAGGCAGACAAACUAUAAAUACAAGUAGUCAUGAGAAGCUGGCCUGGUAUAAAUGACCUUAGGAAUUUGAGGCAGAAAAGCACAUUACAUUCGAGGUGUUGAACCCAAGUCCUAAAUAAAUGCUUAAAACACUCCCAGGAUUGGAUAUUUCUAUUACUGUUUUCACAAAUUUCCUUUCCAGAGAAGUCUGUUCUGGACAGCACGUCUGACCUCCUGUGUUACUCAGGUCAUGUAGUUUCUCCCAGCCAUUUCUUUAUCAAGCCUCAAACCCUGAAGUUGAAUGAGAGCCUAUCUUUCAAAGGGCAGUAUGUCUUGCAUAGAAGAUUCCAGCUGGUAGUUCACAGAGCUCUGGUCAGUUGCGUUUUCCAUUUAAAAGCCCAUCCUGUUUCUGCGUUGAACCUUGUAGCUUUCAGCUUCUAGCUAUUGGGCCUUCACAUGUCUUUGAUUACCAGAUUUAAGUGCUUUAAGGGUUAUUAUUAUUCCCAGCUCUGCAAAUUCCAUCCAUAGGGUAUAAAUGCCAAUGCAGGCAGGAUUAUGAGAGGAGAAACCUCCUCUGUUAACACAGAUGUUGCCCACUGUUUGGAACUUUGCAAAAUCUGGUUCAACAGGCAAAGUGAGCUGAAGAAGAUGAUGGUUUCAAGUAUAAAACUGUAGCAAAUGCAAGUAUUUUCCCUACUUAAGUAGGACUCUCAUGAGAAGAUAGACGUUCCUGAAGUGAGAAAGAUCUUUCCUGUAUACUUAUCAACACAGAGCUGAGUGGAAUUAUUUAAGAUCAACAAUCAACUAGGCAGGAAACUUGAUUACACUGACCAGCUGUACCAAGCUCCUUGCUGCUUUCAUCUUGUGGGGAAAAACCCCCCUCAACUUAUUUAUUUUUAAAAGUGAGAGAAGGAAAGAUUGUCCAGCCCUAAACACUUUGUUUUCAGACUUACUGAAGAAUUCAGUGGUAGGUGCAUUUGGCAUGAGUUUGGAUUCAAACUUAUUUUACGUAAUAUCAGAGUAUUCUCAUGAAACCAGAAGUUAGCCUAUCAAAUUGUAGCACAGAAUAAUUUAAGAUUCCUGUCAAGCUCAUUUGAAAGUAUUUCUUUUUCUGUUCUUUGUGCGAGAUUCCCAUUUGUACCUCUCUGAAACUGAAUAUAAAGAACUCCAUAUAAUCUAUGGUUUACAUUAUUAUUGCACCAGUUUUGAGAAUAAAUCUAUUUUUAAGAUGUACGGUAAAGAACGUACCACAUGUCAAAGAAUUGCUGUUGCACAUUCUCCCUCUGAGCAGCACUACGGCUCUCCUGCCUGUAUUGCAAACAGUUUUUUUUUUAAUAAAAAAAAAAAGCAGGCCUCUUUUCCCAGGCUCCUGUUAGAUGUGAGCUGUCUUCCUGAGAGCUGUAUUUUCAUCUUGCUAUAUUUAAAAAAAAAAAAAAAAGUCUAGUUUUAGCAUAAAGUAAUUACCACAAGCUUAUUAGUGUGCCUGACUCAGGCACUGCAGGCUGGGCAGAUGUCUAAUGUGCACACAUUCUUUGACAAACUUUUAUACAGCCACAGAUGAGUCUGGGGAAAAAAAAAAAAAAGCAUAGCAAUGAAUUCCUGCAGAUGGAUUAAAAAUUAAAAACAAUGAUACCUUCAGAAGAAGACAGCAUGAGGUGUGUAUUAACUCUUUUUUAUCUUCACUACUGAUAGUAAGUGUUAUCUAGAUCUAAGAAUAACAGUCUGUGAAAUGUCUCACACUCCUGAAAGGGGGAUAGCUUUGAAGUUUCUUCUCAUCACUAAAUAGGAUUUCUGCUCUGUGGAGCUCUUUUUUGGAAGGUGCCUCCUGCAGCAGCUUUUCAUUAUUCACCCUUCAGUACCCCCUGCAAGACCUUCCCAUCUCAGCACGCUCCCUAUUGUCCAUAUUCACAUAGAAUGCAAAGGAGGACAGGGAGAAAGCCAUCCACAGCUGAAGGCAACCUGUCCAAGUUCUGCACCAGUAACAUCACACCGAUCAGUGGGGACGUUGCUCUCUAAAGGAUACAGGAUGACAGGAGAAGGGCAAUAACACUUUUUGCAUCCCUGGAUUAUGGGUCCUUUAUUGAUUAUAGCCACAAAUGUAGAUGAAGUAUUAUGAAGCUUGUUUACAGUGUUAUCUGCUUGCCUGCCAGUCAUUGAUUCUCUCUGUUAACAUCUUCACUUCUAAGUACAAGAACAGAAGAAGAGCCUUCAGAUGUUCCAUCUUUAGAUAUCUGCACCUUUAUUGCUGUUAAAACUCAAGUAGGACCUAUUUCAAUAUUUCAAGAAACUGUUCUGGUGACAAAGUUACAGCUUCUGGAAUGGUUGUUUUUACAUACUUAGCAUCAAGAGCAAUCACAGUUUUGAUGAACUUGCCCAGGUUCCUCUUCUGACUGUAUGGGCAAGCUCAGGAUGAGAGAUUUCAGUUCAUACUUUCUUUUUUUGGUCUUUCUGCAAAAGGAUCCUGGAAAGCAGUAGCUUGUUUGCUUUCUACCUUCUGUUGUAUAUAUUGUAAGCAAAAAAAAUAAUAAUAAUUAAAAGACAAGAUCUCCCUUACCAAGAUUUCUCUUCUUUGUUAUGCAAAUAGCAGGCAGACUUUCACUCCUGAUUCUUCUUUCUAAAGGCUUUCUGGUUCAAUGAAUCUGAAUUUGGUUUAUUCCACCAGUGCAUUUUGGAUGUUUACUAAACCAGUGUACGUGCUCGGUCAGACUAGGCAUUUUUCUGUUGGUGGUUUGAGGAAUAGCUGCUACCUUUUUAUUUCCUCUCCCUUUUUUGGGAGGAGAAAUUAAAUUUCUGUUUUUGUACUGACUGGAUUAACCAGAUGGUCUAAACAAAUUCAGACUGUGCGGCCUGAUUGGAAGCUGUCAGACAAAAUCCAGGUCAGAAGCUACAGUUCACUGCUCAUAGAGAUAGCACUCUCUAGGAGUAUGAGACAAGACUAUGGCAGUGUCUUGUCAUCAUCUUAUUGUUGGGGUGGAACCCUCAUAUUCUUGUUGCUUCUUUUUUCCAUACAGACAGGAUUUGUGGGAAAGGUGACAGAUAAUUGUUUUUAUUAUUAUUCUAGAUCAUGCUUACAGCUUCUUUUCCAGUCAGACAAUAAAUAAAUGCAUUUUCUGGUGUCUCCUUUAGGGGCGUUUUUUCAUUGUGAUUCUGUUUUUCAAACUAGGAGGAUGAUGUGAAUCCUUCAGCUCUUAGUGAUGCCUGGUAUAUGCCCACUAGAGGUCUUUUCUCCCUUCUGCAGUAAUUUGUGCCUUACAUAUGAUGCUAUGGCAAUUUCAUUCAGGUCAGAAAUGAGCUUGAAUGCAUUCACCUUAGACGCACUGCUGAUGAAAGCUUUGUUGAAACUUAUGGUCUUUAAAACAGCUCCAUCUUGAUGAAACAGGAUGUUUUGAUGAAACUUUAAUUCAUUGACAGCACUUUCAAAUGUAAAUAGCAAACCAAAUUAUCUGGCUUCAGAAAACAUUUGGCAGAGAGAACAAACAUUUUUAGUGUCACCUGAGAUAUUUUAAUAAAAGGUAGAAUAACAAGGAUAGUAGUUGAUAAACUCAGAUUUGGAAUUAUUCCCAACACUUUCCAGUAAGGAAGCCUCAAGUUUUUGAAACAUUAUGUAGCUCAUAAGCACUCACUGGAUGUUCUGUUGGGUUUCAUUUAAUCCCUGCUUAGAUGUAUUCCUCUCCGUUUAGUAGAAAUACAGAGCAAAAACAAGCAAGGGAUGUGCUAUGAUUACCAAUUUAAUCCAAGGGUUUUAUUUCCAUCUUGUUUUCACUCUUUCUUAGAUACAUGCAUUGUCUCAGCUUAGACAAGUGAGUACUUCAGUGAGAGGGCCUUCAUUUUGUUAUAUUUGGUAUCUGUUCUACGUAUUCAUUUGUGACAGACACUACAGUAUGUCAUAAAUACUCAUUACUCAUAAUUUUGUUUGCUAUAUUUUGCUCCAUCAUCUGCUCUCUUUUUCCUAGUUAAAAUAUUAAUUAUACUUCUGGAGUUGCUAGGUACUCCUGAUGUUAGCCUCUGGGCCUGUUGUGUUACACAUUAAACAAACAUACAGUAAAAAAAAGUUUCAGAAUUCAGGGUUGGAUGCAAGGGAAGCAAUGUAUCUGCAAUGUUGGAUGCAAUGUAUCUGGGGAUGUAUUGAAUUAUAAGAACAGUAAGACAAAUUAAUCUGUCCUUACACAUCUGUGUGUUUUAGAUUACAGUUCCUAAAUACUUCAUGCUAUAGCAAGAAGCUCAAUGCUACAAAGCUAGAUUUCUUCAAAUGUAUUUGAAUUGUUUCUCAGUGUUUUCACUGUAAAGCUUACAUUUAAUUCUCAUAGCAUUUUUUUAAGUAUAGGUUAUCCUCUAGGUCUCUAAGUUCCUCAUCAAAACAAACAACUUCACUUUUUAGUCAUGUAUAGGAAUGUGAAGGAAAUGCACCACAUUAAUGAUGCAUAUUAUAGGAAAUCUACAAAAUCUUUGCAUAUUGUAUAAAACUCCUGACUUUCUGUUAGCUAAUAUGUAAAGAAGGCUGGAGGGACUGAAUGUAAGGCAUUGUGUGGGCAAAACAGUGCUAGAACAAAAAAAAAUAGUGCUAGAGGAAAAAAAAUACAUAGAAUUGCUAAGGCUGGAAAAGACCCACAGGAUCAUCCAGUCCAAACAUUUGUGUCAUAUCAUUCAAUGUGAUAUGGUCUGUGCUGGAACAGUUUGUUUUCUACUACCUGUUUUGACUUCGUUUCUAGUACCUGUCAAUAUUGUCCAUGCUUAGGGCCAAUGUAUGUACAACUGUAUGUAGAACAAAGUAUGCUGACUGUUGCACAUAAUGCAACAUAAUUCAUAGUCUCAGGUAUGUCACAACAGGUGAUUUGAAGAUGUGUAUGUAUACAUAUAUACUUAUUCUAGAUUGGAUGUAAAUUCUAGUUGUUAUUGAAGAUAUAUUUUUAAUAUUUUUUAAUAAUUGAAUAUGUGGAAGUGGACAGAGGAAAUCUAACACAAAUGCCAGCAAUACAGAGUAGGAAGAGAAAAUAAACAACCAGAUAACUCUAAUAUAUGAGCAAAACAACACUAGAAACAUGACUCUGAUUGGGUAAAAGCAGGUUGAGAGAGCCUUUUGUUAUUUGAUUCCCUCUAUGUUUGGAUUAACACAACUAUAAUUUCAGAGUGGCCAGAACUGUUGGGUAGUAAUGAAAGAGAUGGUUAGCUAUUCUGCUUAAAGAAAGCAGUGACAACAUAUAACUGGUUGUUAAAUGUGCUGUGUUGAUAAUAACUUUAUCAUUUAGUAGAUUUAAUAUUCAGAGAACUAUAGAAUGGUUUGGAUUGGAAAUGGACAACCCCCCCUGCAAUAGGCAGGGACAUCUCCCUCUAGACCAGGGUUGCUCCAGCCUGGCUUUGAAUGCUUUCAGGGAGGGAGCGUUCACAACCUCACUGGGCAACCUGUUCCAGUGUCUCAGCACCCUUACAGUAAAGAAUUACUUACAGUAAAUAAUUACCUACCCUCUUCCAGUUUAAAGAGGCAUCCCUUCGCCCUGUUGCUACCUGCCCUUUAUAUUUUUUUUCCUGCGAUACUUCUCCUCUGAAGAAAAUUCUGACUAAUUAAUUUUAGUGUCUGAAAAGUUUUGUUUUCUAACCUGAAAGAAGACCUUUUUAUGAUUUCUCAGAAACUCAUACACAGCUUGCACUUUCUACAGAGAUGUACAGACAAUGCUGUAACCUCAGGGCUUAUUUUACUUUUGCAAUUCCAUUCUUUAGUCAGUUUUGUAAAUAUAUAGAAAUUUGAAUCCUUUUUCAAAUGCUACAACAUGAACUUUAGUCACAGAGAACUUUGUUUGCUGAGAAAAAUAAAGCAGAUUGCCAAUCUAUAAGAUUUCUGGCAAAAGCUUAAAAAAAAUGCUGACAUUUUAAAAAUAAAUUAAGGAAGAAAUUAUCUAAUUGAGGUGAGAUUUAUAAUUUAAAAAAAAGAACCUCCAACCAUGCCUCCAGGAGGUAGCUACCAAAUUUGGUCACUGGAUGCAUAUAAUUACAUCACUAGAAAUCCGUAACAUGAGACCUCAGAGAGUUCCGGGGACAGAAGAGGGCCGAGUUCAAUCCGGGUGUUGUCCAUAUAUGGCUGCAAAGGACAGCCGGUGUCUGCGUGGAUGCAGCACAGCCGUCAGCACAGAACUGGGACAAAACAGAGCCACGACAGCGUGCUCCCGCCAGCAGCCUUCUUCUGGGAAUUUCAGGAAUGCCCUCAGCACUUAUUCAGCAGGAAGCUAUCGGUUAAAGGCACACCGCCACGGUUCUGUGCGUUUCUUUACUGAAGAAGCUUGUGUCCCUUUCCAAUAGAUGUUACUUAGUUACAGGGGUAGAUGAUCAUGUGUUUUCUGUAACAUUUAAUCUUUUUAAAUAUGAUCUGCUCUUUCCUACCUAUUUUUACUGCCCACUAUUUACAUAUAAACUAGUGUUGCCUUUUACUUCCCACAUAGUGAAUAUCUAUUUCUGAAACAAAUUUAAUAUGUUUGAGUCUAAUGAGUCAUGAUGAAUAACCAUUUCUUAGUCAUGAGGAAUGCCACAUUAGAAUGAUAAGAAAUGCUUCUGAGAGCAAUUCACAGUGUAUUUCAGAAUGUGAAUGAUUUGACAGAUAAUGAAAAAAAAUAAGUCUGUACCUUGAACAAAUGUUGAUAUUUGUGAAUGGAUAGAUUACUUUACCAAGAGAAGCUGAAGACUUCAAGGCCAUCUGUGAAUGGACUGUCCAGCCUUAUGUGCCCGAAGAAUCAUAAGUACGUUUUGAGUGUUCUACAAAAGCACAUUCCUCAGGUAUUGCAGACCAUCAAGAUGCACUGGGGAACUGGUAUUUCUGUCUACUUCAUUAUGAGAAUAGAAGCCAGGAUACAUCACCUUUGCCUUCCCUCUUUCCAUUUGUAGAGAUUUAUGCAGCUCAUCAUUUGUUAACGGAAUGGAACUGUAUGGCAAAUGGAACGGAACAUGCUAGCUCUACAGGAAACAAAAGACUUUUCAUGUGAGAACUGCAGCAAGGAAUUUGUCAGAGACUGGGAGAGGAAGGCAAAAGAAGCUAAUAUUGAAAUGCAAAUUAUUAUAAGUGAAAGGAUUUUCUCCAUCUUCACUUAGUUUCUGCAGUUUAUAUCCUUAAAAUAAAAAGGAGUAGCUGAAAAUAUGUUACAAUAAAACCCAGUAACUUUGUCUCUUUCAUAUUCUCAGUCUUUGUUUUAUUUGGAGACUGGUACACAGAAUUUUAUCUAUAAAUCAAGCUCUUGGAAAUAAACUUGCUGAAAUCGCAAUCAGAAUCAAAUAUUUAUGUGAUGAUUUUUGUGAGAAGUUCAGUAAACGCGCUGUCAUCAGAUAAAUUCUCAAGAAAACAUAUCAGAUUCUUUUUUCCUCAGCUUGGAAAAAUAUGAUUCAGUCAUGUACAAGAAAAUUAUGCUUAACAAAACAGCUGCCUGAGCAGGCCUGCACAGCAGCACCUCCACCACACUGCCCAGUUUUUUUUCCCCCCAAUUGUUAUGGUGUAACAGUAUUCUUUUGACAUUUCCAACAGCUGACACUUGGACACUCACAGACCUGCUCUGCUGUCCAUCCCCAAACUGAUCCUGUUUGCUCCAUUUCCCCCUUGCUGUUGGUCUCCCUUCCCUGUGCUUUGAGCCAUUUAAGGCUGAUGGCUUCUCGUUCGUCAUCACAAUCACCUUGCCUUCUCCUAACAGAAAAUACAGAUCAUAUAAUCAUAUACCCAUACUCUUCUUUAUCUCACCUUGUUUACACUCAUGCUUUUCACUCUAACUUUAUUGUUAAGCUCAGCAAAUCUAUAUAAGAGAGGUGCAGGAAACCACAUCAUAUUUAUUCUUGUGCUCCCCUUGGUUAUUUCACAAAUUCACUCCUUUGAAAGUCAGAAGCAUUUUAAUUUCCAGUCUAAGUUCCCAUUUUAUUCAUGUUGUAUAUCUCUUUGUUCCUUAUGGAACAAUAUCCUUAUUCUGGAUAACAUUCAAAAAAAAAAAAAUUACUUUUGUUUCUCUAAAUUCCACAAAAUGUGUAAUUUUCUUCCAGACCUCUUCUUUUCCCCAAACAAAAGGUUGAGAACUGUACACAUUUUUUCAUUAUUUCAUUUUUUCAUAUUUUUUCUACCAGUACUGAUUACAAAGGCAUUCAUACAUAAUGUUGAAAAUGCCUCUCCUAAGACAUCCUCAGACUGCCUACACAUUUGACUUCUUUCUUCCACCUGGAGAUUUAGUCAUCCACUGACUUAUUAAUACAAAUAAUUUUUUUCAACUUCUUGAAUUUGCUUGAACUUUAUCCCAGACCACUUGUUUAGGCAUUUCAAUGCAGGCUACAGCAGUUCAGCUUACAUUUAUUUAUUUCUAACUAGUGGGCCUUGUAUGGGAAAGCUGAGGGCCCAUUACUUUCUGUUAGUCAUGAGAUCCCUGUGGAUUUUAUUAAUAAAUUGCUGUUGUUGCCAUAAAAAAAAAAACACCCUAAAAUCACUGACAAUAUUAAAUCACCGAUUUCUCUCACCAAACAGAACUACCAGUUCUGCCUGUUAGCAGUUGAGUAGUUGUUUUGAAACUUUAGCUAUCGUUUGCUGAAAACAAGGUAGUAACAAAUAGUUCUGCUAAUUAUUGAUGUCUCCUUCAGAAGGCCCUACGGACUCAGCCUAGCUAAACCAUGGUGAAAAGUUUUCCAUUUUUCCUCUGACACUUAUAGAUUAUCAUGUAUGGAAUUUCAUGGAUUUUUACCAUACAAAAGAAACCAAUUGCACAUUCUUGAAAGAGUAUAAAGGAGUCUCUUAAGAUUUUGUUCAUUUAGAAUAAAGAAAAUUAUACUAUUAGUCCUCUGUUAGUUCCCAUGAGAAACACGUUACAACACUUCACAUAACUCUCCACUCCACUGAGAUUUAGAUUGCCAUUCUGUUCAAUGUCUUUGUUAGCAUAAAUAAUAAUAAUAAAAAUCAUCACAAGAUGAAUCCUUGUAAACAUGUGCUAUACUUUGGACUCCAACUAAGAACAGCAAAGACAUCAGCACAGCUGUAAUGUGUCACUUCCCUACUAGGCCCAUGGAUUCCCUUCUAGAUGAGUCAAUGAAUAGGUAAUGUUUGAAUGUUUCAUCACAGGUUGAGAAGCUGUGCCUGACAAACAAAAUCAACUGCAUAAGGAAAGAAAAAUUCUACAUUACAGGAGCUAGUAUAAGAGUACAUUCCGUGUUCUCUUAUUCCCCAGUGAAGGGAUAGCUAACUUUCUGGCAGAAAAGGUUGAGUCAUCCUGUUCUAAGUGAACUAAACUUUGUUUUGGAGAAAUCUAUCUUGUAAUUGUUUGUCUUUUUAUUUUUUCAUAUCAUAUAUCUUUCCAUUUGGAUUAGCUCUCGAGCUGGCAUUUUAGAGAUAUGUCAAGAAUAAACUUACAGCACUUGCAACUUUAACAAAGGAAAUAAGUUAUAUAAUUAGUAUAAUUAGUAACCUUCAUGCCACAUUUCUGAUCUUAAUACUAUGGCAAGUUGAAACACUAAGGAAGAUGAAAACAAUGCAUGCAGAGUAUUAUUGGAAUAUAUGUUUUGAGAUCCAAGCCUAAGAAAAACUUUAAGAUACAUAAAAGAGUAUAUUUACAUUUCAGGAACUCAUCAGAUUUAGAAAUGCAUCCCAUAAUUUAUAAUCAGCAUUGAUAGAAUCAUCCUCACAGUUGGAUAAAUUGAGCUUAAUAUUUCCAAGCCAGAAGACAACAUUAAAAAAAAAAAAGUUUUUUAGGUUAAAGCAACAACUGCAAAAAGCCCGCUUACUUCUUGAGAAGCCUGAUUAUUUUCCCAGGUAUUAGCACAUUUUUUUCAUCCACUUGCCUACAGCAAUGAAAAACCUACUGUAACAUAAUGGAAAGUGCAGCAGUGACAGCAGAAUAGCAAAGUCCUAGGCCAUAACAAGCAAAAACUUGCUCAAAUACAACAGCUAUGAACACAGAAACAAAAGAAAAAAUCUACUUACCUUCAGAAGACCUGAGGAACACAGGAAUCUCCAGUAGAAUACCCACACCUCCACUACCAAGCCUUAAAUGAGGAGGGCCCUAGCUCCAGCCCUUCUAGUCACUCAGGUGCACUACACACACCUGAGCUCCCUCGGUUAGCCCUGCCUUCCCACCAGGUGCUCAAUCAGUGUUCGAAGCUGUGACUUAGUAUUUCUGCUAUGCUUAUCACCAUAAGUUCUUUACUUGGGUUGAAGCUUAGAACUGAAGAAGAGCACUACUGAAAAGGUGACUAAAAAAACAUACUACAAUUGCUUACAGUUUGAGUGUUCGGAAUUCCCAUAUAGAUUUUUUAAAAUAAACAAUCACAACAAAACAAUAAAGGGAACAGUAAAAAUUGCUCUAUUCCUGAAAAAAUUAAUUUGAGUUUUGUCUUAAAGAAAUUUGUUUCUAUUCCACGAUAUGUAAUAAGGAGAAAAUCCAUACAGGAGAGAUAAGCAGCCGAAAUGAGGUGCAAAUGGGCAUAGACUGAUUUACUCUCAGCAAGGUUUUAUGUGGGAUUUAAGAAAAUCCUCAUAGAAAGUACAUGGAGAGACUUUGUUCAGUUGGAACUAGAUAUGCUCCCUCAACACAAUACUGGUAGGAGGCAACUUUGCACUGCUAUUGCCAUGUGCUCUUCCUGCUAUGUGCAGAAAGGAUGUCUGAGGUUUUUUGGACAUGUUUAACCAGCACUGUGUUUAGUUUAAAACAAAAUGAUUAUUUUAAAAUAGAAAGUUAGCUUGUAUUAAAAAACAAAAAGGCAGAACCUGACAUACGUUUUAAAAUUGCACUAAGUUGAAACAUCCUUAAGUAUUUUCAUAAUGUUUAACUGCCACUACUUCUAACUUGCAGUUUUCCUUUGUGGAGGGAGAAUUCCUAGUACUGUGGUUCAAAAUACUACCAGCCUACAGGAUGAGAAAAAUUAUGAAGAGAAGAUGUGUGAAGCACUCAAGGCCUCUGAGGUCUAAUAUAGCUUAGUCAAACAUAAUUUCUUAUUUACUUACGUAUUUAUUUAUUCAUUAUGAUUUCAUAGAAGCGGCAUCAAAUUCGUAUCCACACAAAAUAGGGGAUUUUAAAGUUUAGAAUAGGACUAAAGAAAUACACAGCUUUCAGCCUUCCUCUAUCUGGAAUCAAAUGCUUGAGUACCAGGCACACAAAAUGACUGAGGUUAAUUUCAGUAUGUAAGGAAAAGGAAAGAAAUAUCUUCCAAGUAUGUUACUUUUUAUCCUUUUGCUCCUUUUCAUGGCUGAUCUUUAACAUAAGCACUUAUAAAACUUAGAAAGCAAAGAGUUCCAAGGAGAUAACUCCCUGACCAAAGAGCAGGCAUACAACAGAAAGAAUGUAGUGGAUCUUAUUUAUAGGCAGCUCAGUGUAUUAACCUUAUGCUACCCAUCAGCCUGUGAAAUAUAAGACAAGGUGGUAGUUUCCACAGCACACUUUGAGGGUAAACCCAGUGACGUCAAAUAUAUAACACGUUCUAUAACUGAAGUAAACAAAUUCAUUCUAAGGCAAAAAGAUUUUUAGCAGUUAUACAAAUGUUGUAUUAUUGGCCAUUGUUUCAGGAGAGCGUUUGGGGGGUCCAAGUGCCGCUUUGGCAAAGGCCUUGUGUGGAGGGCUUGCUGCCAAGUGCAGCUGUGCAGUGACAAGACUGGAAUGUCCUCUGAGCAAGGCUGGCUACAAAGCUCUGAGGACCGGAGGAGUGGGAGGUUCUCAAAUAGCUUGAGAAAUAUGAAAGCCUCAUUCAAAGAUAAAAAAAAAAUCAUUAAAACUUAGUCAUGUAACAAGGAAACGUGAAAAUAACUUUGUAACAAUGCUGCUGUUUAUCACCCUCAUAAAACAAAUUUUGCAUGUGUUCAGUAUACUUCCGCAAAGGUUGAGUUUUUCCAAUGGGGUUUGUGAGAGUGGGUUUCAAAUAGCAUAUCACAAUCCAGUAUAUUAAAGACCCUAAUCUAUCAGGAUUCUGAUCUUUUCAUAAUAAACUCUAACUUCAUAUUCCUACAAACUAUAACUAAGUAUUCCAGCUUCCUUCCCAUCUGGAAUGCAUGCUUUCCAUGUGUUUCAGAAGUGUUACUGUCUUGCAUGCUCUUUAGGAUCAAUAAAAAGAGUCACUGAUUGACCAGAGAGUACUUAACUUUACUUCUCAGGUAUUAAAAGCAAAUUCUAUACUUACAUCCUGGUUUGCUGCUUUGAAACCCGGUAAAAGAACAUGCAUUUCAGCCAAAAGUUAUCUUCAGAAAGAGAACUGUAUCUGUACUGCAAAAUCUUCUUGAAGCGAGGCAACGCAAUAAAGGAGAGUAUAUUUGCCCGCAGUCUUCCAAUAAUGCCUAUUUUUAACUGUAUCAUAAAUAUUUUAUUUAAAAUAGAAAGGAAACAACUGCAGGCUCUGAACAGACAUUAUUAAGGCCACCAUGGUAGGAAAUGAUUCUGGGAACCAGAACAUUUCUGAAUACCCCCAGCUGAGGUGCAGUGGAGUGGAGUAAAGCUGUUGCUAUUGUUUAGUUACAUACAGAAAAUUAAUAACAUAUAGCAAAGUACAUCUCCAACAAGCAAAUGCUAUGAAAAGUGGUAUAUAUGGUAGCUUUGUUGAAUAAGCAAAAUAAAUUUGCUUGAUUUCUCAUAUUCUCAUGGUAGGAAUCUCCUAAGUCCUUUCAUAUGUGAAGAUAGGCUACCAUUCAGUGCUGCAUGUGAGGCUUCAGAGAAGUACACAGAUACUGUGCUGAGUAACAAAGGUCCUGUUAAUGAAACAGGAGGUGUGGCACUCUUCAAUCAGACUGGGUAAAGUCAGGAACAAAAGCACUUACAUACAAACCAAAGCUCAAAUGACAACAUUUGAAACUAUUAAUUACAACUGUUUAGUUCUCACUGAGUUUCCUCCUAUAGCAUCAUUGAUCAGUUCUACCAAACUGAAUUGAAUUGUAAGGCUUUUCUUUAACAUUUGACCGAAUGAUUAAAAAAACAAGACCACAAUUGUUCUAUAAAGGUAUGUUCCUUGAUGUGCUGCAGGACUUUGUGUAUCAUUUUAGAGACUUUGCAGUUCAAUGAGUUGAAGUGCAAUCAGUCCCUCAGGGACUGUAACCAGCCUCAGCAUAGUCACCUCCACAGUGGCCACCAACCAAAGAUGUCACUGCUAUGUCUACACCAUUUUCUGUCCCAGCUUCCCACAGUAACAUAAAGGAUAAGAGAUGUGGCUUCUUUCUUAGAACUGCAAUACUACUUAAUUGCAGACUGCUUCAGCUUAGAGGUACUUGCACAUAUGAGCUUACAGAAGUGUAGAGUUCAUUAUCAUAUUGAAGAGAAUCACAGCGUUCCUGCUUGCUUCCUCUGCCUACAAUCUAACAAGCAGAUUGGAGGAAGAUUAUUGGGAGCUUUUUGUGUAAUAGCAGCCGUCUGCAGGAUCAAGCUAAAGGGUGUAUAAAAGGUGUAGUUUUGUUCAGUUCCAUGGGAACUGCAGUACAAAUGGUAUAAGUUGACCUGACCAUUGAGAAAUAUGAAUUGAAUUCACAUCAAUUAAAUUAUGCAGUAGCAAUUCAUUUCACAUUGCCCACUGGAGGAUGAUAAAUGAAAAUCUACCAUGAAAAUAUAUGAAAAGAAUGUAGUAGUAAUAUUUUAUUACCUUGCUGACAGGAUACUUACAACAAGUCACUUCUUAUAAGGAGAGAUAAGAAUCUCUUGUUAGAACUUCAUAUAUUGAAGAUGUCAAAAAUCCCCUUCUCUCUGUGUAUUUCACACAUGAUCAUUAUUUUCUGAAGGCAUUGAGAAAUCAAUGCAUAUUAAUCUUUGUAACAAAGCACAUCUUAAACCUUAAAUGCAAGAAAAUUCCAAGUUAUAACACUGAAUGUCACCAAAUACUUAAUACCUUCCUUUUUUAUUUCUGUAGGAUCAGGGAAUUCGGCAGCUGUUCAGUUCCAGAAGGCCUGUACUUCUAAUAGGUAAAGGAGCACACUGUAUUCAAACCAUUGAUCUCCCAGAGUGCUGAAUACAACCUCAUCAGGAUUGCCACAUUUUCAGCACUGACAUCUCAUGCAGGUGCUACAUAUGGGAAGGAUGUGGUCAUAGUUUCAGCUUUGCAGAGAGAACCGACUGACUUUCACAUAGGAUUUUGAUAUUUCGAAAUCUGGGUUUGUUCCAGUUUGGAACGAAAGCCAAGGAUUUCAUAAUUAUCUAUGAAAGGCAGUAAAGUCUCAGCGUGGGAGCAGGUCAUCUCCUAGGCUUCCCCAAAGCAUCGCUCCUGUGACUGCUGAGAUCUCUGGAGCCAGGAUGGGAAGGGUACUGCCCUAGGAGGUUGUUCCUGCCUGACCUGCUCCAGAGCUGCACCACUGAACUGCUGGAGCCCCCACCACCAAGUAACUCCCAGGCUGCCUGGCAUCCAGGAGAAUGAGGGAAAUCCCAGUGCUGCAGCAAAACCUUCCCAUUUGUCUGAACUGGGAAAUUCUUACCAGAAGAAUUUUUGUUAGAAUUUAUCUAGUUUGUUUCAUUUGAAAUGAAAGCUUUGUGGUUUUGCUGUAGAGGAGAUUAUUUUGCUGUGUCUAGUAUGCUCCUGGGUAACAGUAAUAGUGCUGUGAUUUGAAUAUUAGAAAUCAUAGAGGAGAGGAUGGAAGGAAGGAGGUUGCCUGAUCACUCUCUGUCUCAACUUCAAAGAAUACAAAAUACCAAAUAAAUUUCCUUUUACUUUAGAAUCCUUUUCCAUCCUUUAAAUGAAGAUAAAAUUGUUUAUAAUACCUUCAACCCUGACACAAGAUUCCAACAAGAAGCAGCAUCAGAAACCAUACCGUUCUGCAGGAGAAACAGUUGAAUCCUGGUGUUACCGAGUGCUUUCUGCAACAUAGGGCAUAAGUUCCUCUCUACUGGUAGCAAUGGAGAGCUGUUUCAGUGUGUCACUCUGAAAGCAAUGCCUCUUAUUUAUUUCCAUGGAAACUACAACAGAAACAAAGAGCACAAGAACACUAUUUGAUGAGCAAAUUCUCAGCUACAAAAUGUUAUUUUGCAACGUAGUCACCACCAUUAGAUAUGCAUUUUCAUCAGCAAUGAACAAGAGCCUGCAUAGAGCAACAAAAUGCAAUGGAAUACAGGCAGGGAAGGUUCAUCUUUUGCCUUAUCACCAAGACCUGCUUCUGUCAUUGUGAGCCAACAUAAUAAAGUAUGAGGCAUUACUUUCACAGCAGCCCUCUUAAUUAAAAACAUCUGUGAUUUUCAUAUAUUUACAAAUUUCUAACAUCAUUUUAUCUUCACUGAUUUUUAAAAGUGAUGGUUACAAAGGCACAUGUCUGUCCUCCCAAAUACAAGUUUGGGCCUUAGCACCAUGCAGCUCUAUUUAACCUUUUGUUUCAUUGCUGCUGAUAUAUUGUCAAGAGAGAACAAUGAAGCACAUGGAUCUUUGGGAUAUCCAGCAAAAUUCCUCACAGGCUGCUUAAUGGAAUUCUUUGCCUUUUUGUUUUUGGUUAAAAAGUGAAAAAUAGUGAGAUGAAACUUUUGAAAACAGAAGAUGGGAUUUUUGAUCAAAUAAAUGUGGGAGUAAGAAGUGUUUAUUUCUCUUGAAAUCUUUUGUCUUUUUCCAGCAAUACUAUUUUUAUUUUCAGUUUGAGACCUUUCAUUUAUUUUUUUUUCCUUAAUGAAAAGUCAUAUAUUUUAAUGGGCAAAAACCAAACAAACAAAGCACCAAACAAGCUUCUUUUGCUUUCUGUGUAUAGCAAUUACCCAAACUAAUGUAAAGUCUUCGUAGUGUAUAGUGCAGGUAAGAUGUAUGUUGGGAGCAAAACAGCCAAUCACAAACCAGGAAGUUCUGGGAGACACUGCAUCAAAGGCACACUCAUCCUCAAUGCAGAGUGGAGAGAGAUGUGCUCAACUGUUGCUGAACUGUUUUGCUGCUUACCUUGGUAAGUGAUCGAAUCAACGCUUGAUGAGUUGGCCAAUACAUACAAGGUCAUGAUGAUUUCUCUGUAUGGGAUAUGGUCAGGCAGUUGCAAAAUACUGAGAGGGAUUAGUAAAAAUAGUGUGGUAAUUGCUUAUACAUGCUUGAUCAGAACUUGCUUGGCCAUGACCAGAAUUCAGGAUUCCUCACACCCAUAUACAUAUUUGGUGGCCUAGGACACACUUGUCUCUUGUCAGCAAUCAGGGCUAACAAAAGAAAAAAACUCGAACCCCACUUGAAAAAACAGGCUUAGAACAGAAUAACCAGAGCUGUUUGCCACAGUCGUGUCAAAAUAUGGCCAAAGAAAACAGUGGCUUUCAAGUAAGGACCUAAAUUUGAUAGAGUUGCACUCCUGAAGCUGCACCAAAACCCAAGUUUUGUUUGUUUAGACACUCAGGUCAUAAGCAAACAUUUAUUACAUGAGAGGGGGAGGACGUGGAUAACAGUAAUUCAGCUCCUCUUCCAUGUCAUGUCAGAACACCUCAUAAGGCACUGGAGUCUGUCUGGAAGUGGAGGACAUGAUGAUGGUGUGAGCUUGGGCACUGGUGGAAGGAAAGGAAAUCUCACUCUCUGCAAUUCACCCAAACUAUGUUUUACUGCAGUACAAUGCCUUUCACUCUUCUACACCAUUCAUAGCCAGACAUUCUUUAGUUUCAAUAUGAGUUUUUAGUACUUUAUGUGUUUACCUUGCUGUUUUUCAUUAACUUUUCCUGUUAGCUGCUUGAAGUGAUCUGUAACCUCAAGAGUUGCCGCAGGACUAGUAACACAGUACACUGCAGAAAUUUACUGUAAAAUCCUGUUAGGACCACUGGGAAGGUUUUGUGAAAAACAUUUUGUACCCCCAGUGAAGCCAAAAGAAAAGCAAGGCUCCUUGUCCCACUGGAAUAACUGCUGGUUCCUGCUCAUGGAGACCUCAUGGAACUCCAAACCGCAGAGACGAGGGAGCUCAGGGACAACAGAAGUAAAGCAGUCCUACUUACUAGGCCAGUGAUGUUUCCCUGUGAACCACAUUAAUUAUACAUUUUCU